UCUCCGCGGGAGCGCGGGGCGCGGUUGGGGGCCUGGAGGCCGGGGGUGGAAGGGUGGCGCUCAGCGUAGCCCAUUUCUCAACUGGAGGAUGGCAACCCUCCCCUCCCCUCAAAGCUUAAGGACAUUGAGUUGGCGCGGGCGAAGCGGUGGAGAAACAGGCACCCUCACGCAUUGCCGGUGCAUCUCCAAAACGCCCUCAACACUCAUGAAGCAGGCUACUCCAUCAGAGAGAGAGGCCACAUGGAGGAGCACUGAGGCAUCACACAUGAGGUGAAGAUACCGUCUUGGACACCCAGCUCCAUCAAACCUUCAGAAGAUUCCAGCUCCAGUUCUUAUCUAAAUGCAGCUACCCCAGAGAGCAGAACCACCCAGAUGAAUCAACCCACAGAUUCCUGAGAGAUCCUGAUAAAUAGCUGUGUUAAGCCUCUAAGUCCUUGUUUAUACUCAAGACCUCCUGGGUACCUCGGUGUCUCGUGUUUGUGUCCUAGUAAAGCUUCUGUGCUUUGACUUUUAAAAUAUAAACUGAUAACAAACAAUAA